GACGAACGCUGGCGGCGUGCUUAACACAUGCAAGUCGAACGGAAAGGCCCUGCUUUUGUGGGGUUCUCGAUUGGCGAACGGGUGAGUAACACGUGAGUAACCUGCCCUUGACUUUGGGAUAACUUCAGGAAACUGGGGCUAAUAUCGGAUAGGAGCUCCUGCUGCAUGGUGGGGGUUGGAAAGUUUCGGCUGUCGGGGAUGGACUCGCGGCUUAUCAGCUUGUUGGUGGGGUAGUGGCUUACCAAGGCUUUGACGGGUAGCCGGCCUGGGAGGGUGGACGGCGUCCUGGGGACUGAGAGACGGCCCAGAGUCGUACGGGAGGCAGCAGUGGGGAGUAUUGCACAGUGGGCGGGCGCCUGAGGCAGAAACGCUGCGUGCGGGAUGCCGGCCUUCGGGGUGUAAACCGCUUUCGCCUGUGACGAAGCGUGUGUGACGGUAAUGGGUGAAGAAGCACCGGCUAACUACGUG
rnacentral:rRNA from 1 species